AGUUCUCAAGGCCCCGCCCCGGAGGCCUCCGGUCGCCUGGCUCGGUCCCCCGAGGCUGCGGGACGCCGGGCCCCACCUCCCCCUCCCCUGGCUGACUCUCCACCCACGAUACUGCAGCGCCUGUCGGCCUCGGGACCCCGCCCUCUGCCUGGGCUCGCCCCGCACUCAUCCAGCCUCCCCAGGGCCGGUUUCACUGAUAGGGUCCCCUUGACCACGUGAAAACCUUUUUCCUCCCCAGCUCAAAAACACUCCAAGGUCUUGGCGCCCGAUACGAGACUUCCCUCAUCCGAAUACCUCUCGUGCCCCUGAUGCACUUUUCCAUUCCCACUCCCCACGUCGGCAGCCUAGCUUCUAACUGAGAGCUUGGCCUUCGAUCCUGGUGUGGGAACUCGUGGAAGGAUUUGAUUCGCGCCUUAGAAAGAUCGCUGUGCUCCUGCGAGGAGGAGGGCGUGUAGGGGCUGCCACUGGAGACACGGUCAGAAGCUCCGAGGCUACCGCGAUGGUCCAGAUGUGGUAACGCUAUUUGCUAAGGCCGGUACUGAACUUCGGCUUCAAGUGAUCUGCCCACCUUGGCAUCCCAAAGUGCUGCAAUUACAGGGGUGAGCCACCAUGCCUGGCCCUCUUUUUAAAAAUAUAGGGACUCAGGAGAGCUUCUGGACACCUGAACACAUGGAGGUUCCUGGACCAUGGCAUGCCUGGAGACAGCAUGGAAGCCCCUUCUCUGCUGGCCCUACACAUCUCUUCCAUCUAGCUGUUCAUCUGUAUCUUUUGUAACAUCUUUCAUAAUAAAUGGGUAGAGAUAAGUAAGUAUUUCCCUGAAUUCUAUGAGCUGCUCUAGCAAAUUAAUCAAACCCAAGGGGAGGGAGAUGGUAGGAACCCUGGUUUACAGUCGGAGGCAUAGAUGACAAUCUAUUACUUUUGAUUGAUAUCCAAAGUGGGGGGCAGCCUUGUGUGACUGGGCUCUCAACUUGUAGGGUCUGAUGCUACCUCCAGAUGGUAUCAGAACUGAAUCAAAUUAUAGGGCAUUCAUCUGGUAUCCACUGUAUAAAUGAUCAUUUGCUUGUUGUGUGAGGGACAGUCCCCAUGUUUGGUCACAGAAGCAUUCUGUAUGGUGAGAGUACAGGAGAAAACAGGGAGUUUGUUUUCCAAUAUUCUUAACAAUAGGAGAAUUUUAAAGAAGCAACUCUAGGUAUCAGUACGAUCCUCACUUUGUUAAACAUUGAAAUCAAAACUGUAUAUAUAUAUUUCUAUUUACGUAGAAAUUACCUGAAAAAGGCUGGGUAUGGUGGCUCAUGCCUAUAAUUCUAGCACUUUGGGAGGACGAGGCAGGUGGAUCACUUGAGGUCAGGAGUUUGAGACCAGCCUGGCCAACCUGGUGAAACCACAUCUCUACUAAAAAUAUAAAAAUUAUCUGGGUGCCUGCAAUCCCAGCUAUUUGGGAGACUGAGGCAGGAAAACUGCUUGAACCCAGGAGACAAAGGUUGCAGUGAGCCAAUAUCAUGCCACUGCACUCCAGCCUGGGCAACAGAGCAAGAUUCUGCAUCCCCCGCCGAAAAAAGAAACUACCUGAAAACUACAAACUGAACUUUUGAUAAAGGGGCAGUAGACCUUUAUGCAACAAUCUGAGAAGAACAAUCAGAAAGAGCAUGGUACAGUACACAGAACUGUAAUAUGUAGUAUCUACUAUAAAGCUACCAGAAACUAUCUAGACAGACAUAUGUAUGUAAUGCAAUAUGCAAAAUACAAGUAUCUCUAAAGUUAGGCUAAAGGCGUACCAAUUCUUUGAUAUCUUUUUCAAACAAUGUGAAUUAUUUUUUAAUUUUUAAAAGUUCCAAUUCUAGCCAGGCACAGUGGCUCAGGCCUGUAAUCCCAGCACUUUGGGAGGCCGAGGUGGGUGGAUCACCUGAGGUCAGGAGUGCGAGACCAGCCUGCAACAUGGUGAAACCCCGUCUCUACUAAAAAUACAAAAAUAAGCUGGGUAUGAUGACACGCGCCUGUAAUCCUAGCUACUUGGGAGGCUGAGGCAGGAGAAUCACUUGAACCCAGGAGGUGGAGGUUGCAGUGAACCAAGAUUGUUCCACUGCACUCCAGCCUGGGUGACAGAGAGAGAGACUGUUUCAAAAAAAAAAAGAUACUUUUUUAUACUGCCUCACACAUCAAUAAACAAUGUGGGAAAGAGAACAAAACAGAAAAGAGAAGCUUGCCUGUAAUUGGUACUACACGUAUAAAUAAGACACACUGCUCUUUGUUGAAGUUCCCAUUUCAAACAAGUCCAAGUCACAGGACACAGAAAUCGACAUGGUUCAACUUACCUGAAC